AAAUUAGCUAUGAAGGGAAGAGUAGUCAUUGAGGAAGUUAGAGAGAGUCGGUACUAGGUGGAAAUCCGACACGGAAUUAGUGAUGAAGAACAUCCCUAAGCUUCUAACCGAAAUUUGAUUAAUUCAAAGAGUAGGCUUAGACGGGCAUAGUCCGUUAAAAACUAUACAGUAUCGAAUAUAUUCUGUACUGGUUUGAGCUGAGCCUUUUGCUAAUUAAGGUGGUACCGCGGAAGAAUACCUUUCGUCCUUUAA
rnacentral:ncRNA from 2 species